rnacentral:rRNA from 1 species
AUUGACCGCUGGCGGCAGGCCUAACACAUGCAAGUCGAGCGGAGCGGCGGACGGGUGAGUAAUGCCUAGGAAUCUGCCUGGUAGUGGGGGAUAACGUCCGGAAACGGGCGCUAAUACCGCAUACUAUCAGAUGAGCCUAGGUAGGAUUAGCUAGUGUGUGGGGUAAAGGCCUACCAAGGCAACGAUCCGUCACUGGUCUGAGAGGAUGAUCAGUCACACUGGAACUGAGCCGCGGUCCAGACUCCUACGGGAGGCAUCAUGGGUGAAUUUUGGACAAUGGGCGAAAGCCUGAUCCAGCCAUGCGGCGUGUGUGAAGAAGGUCUUCGGAUUGUAAAGCACUUUAAGUUGGGAGGCGUUACCAACAGAAUAAGCACCGGCUAACUUCGGGCCAGCAGCCGCGGUAAUUC